AUUCAGCUGACGAGUCCCAAAUGAGACGAAACAUGCGUCCUGGGU
rfam:Schistosoma haematobium scaffold1233_17, whole genome shotgun sequence.